UGACGCUCCGGUUCGACGUCACCUGAGCUAACAGGCUAACAGGCUAGCUCCGUCAGUGGACACCAACCGGGUCUGUGGAGAGGUUCACUCACAUCGGAUGAAUAAUACGUUUUGAAGUUCAGCUUGUUCUCCUAGCAGAGAGGCUGAAGACGUGUGAGCUCCCGUUUCUGAGGAACGGACGAGCCUGAAGGACACAGCUGUGCUGACCGUGUUCUGUAUCUUAUGGCAAAGAAGACAAAUAAAACACUGGGUUCUUAUCUAAAGUGCAUCAAAUCAGGAAGCAAAAGAUAAACAUUGUUCUAACAAGUGUUCAUUUGAAUAUAUAAUAUAUAAUGAAUAUAGAAAUAAACUCUUUUAUCCAUGACACUAAGCAAUGACUGCCAACUCUAAACAGUUGAAGGCCUUCUUUAGUUAAGGGAGGAAAACACAAAGUGUUGUGCAGAUGAAGCUGGUGCAUGUCGCCUCAUGUUGAUAAUAAUAAAUUAUGCAAGUUAUUUGA